UCUCGUUUCUUCUUUUCCUUUUACCACUCUUUCCUUCCUUCCUUCCUUACUUCCUUCUUUCUUCCCCUUCCUUUAACCAACAACUAUGCGAUUUUCUUUCACUUAUUUUCAAAUCCAAUUAGUUACUUUUUAUUCACCUUAUUUAUUUAUUUAUUUAUUUAUUUAUUUAUUACUAGAAGAACUCUUCAAUCCCCUUCCUAUAUUUUUUCCAAUUUAUUUCUCACUUUUCCUUUUUUUUAACACUUUUCCCUUGUUCCUUCGUCAAAACUCGUGCUGCUGCUAUUCGUUCGUUAUUUUUUUCUUAAAUUCACCGAUUCUUCCAAUCGUAGCACAUUUCGAACGAACCGUACAUCAUCAAGCACGAGAUUAUUCGACGUAGUCUCAAUAAGGUUAUCCACUAAAAUUUCGACGACAACGAUUAUUGUUAGGACAAAUAAAACUAGGACGAUAAACGCCGGUCAGUUGCACGCGCGCAAAGACCCGCGCACCCUUCGAAAUCCCACCAUGUCCGUUACCACUUUUCGACAGUACACUCAUUUAAUAGCGCAGGCGGAAGCCAUAUUGCGAUCACUGUCCGUGCCACUGUCGGCUGAGCGCCGAUCGACGGCGGCGAACCGAGCCGCAUGACGAGGAGACGGGAGGGGAAGGGGGCGCUCGUGUUCUCCUACUAAAGACGCCAAAAGGGGCAAGAGAGGGCUGAAGCCGUACAGCCUAUUGGUCGAAUCCACCUGUCGUAGCUGUCGACAUCUAACGGAUAAAAAACAAGUGUGGAAUUUUACGGUCAAGGGAUCUACCUUAUCGACCACGGCAAGGACAGCAAAUGACGAGAAAGGACCUAAUUGUUCUUCGAAAGGAUCUUUUUCUCUACUCUGAUUUUUUUUCUUUUUGUUGUGUUGAUGUUGCUACUGUUUCUACUGCACACGAGAAUGACGUCCAAACCCAACGUCACUUUCAACGUCACCAACGACAACGGACUUUCUAUCGUAGUUUCAUAAAGCGUGUGUUAAAAGUAGGUCGUCCUGCCUGUUUCAAAGAUUUUUGUACGACGUAUCUAUGUGCAUAUAUAUUUACGCAGAGCCGUGUACGCAACAAAUGCUUAUUUUCCUUUGUAUCUUUUUAAUAAGGACACCGAAGAUAAGAUGGAUGGGGUUAGCGUCGACUGUAAGCAAGAACGUAAAUCGUAACGGAAAAAAUAAACGACAUUUAGAAUUUUAAAUAUAUUUUAUCGUUAGUUUCGGUUUAACUACGGACGUGCCAAAAAUAAUAAUGAAUUACAAAAAGAACUAAGAUAAAUAUAUAAAAAAAGAAAAACAGAAAAUACCGUCCCGAUUGCGGCAGGGAUUGCAAUAAACCCUUUCGUUGUCCAGAACGUUCUUCGUUGUUCAACGUGUCAAAAGAAAAAAAAGGGGGCCAGGAAUCGAAACACGAUGACGCGCGCGCGUACACACUUUUUAAAAUCGUGUUUCGUAUUCGUUAAACAACGACAACAACAAAAAUUGUGAUAAAGAGAGAAAGAGAGAAGAAAAACAAGAUCAUUGCCGUCAUCUAACGACGGACGAGACGAAUUUACAAAAGAGCAUACGUUCGCUAGAAAAUAACGAGCCUGGGAAACGUGCCAGGUUACGAAGAACUAUCCAAGAGUUUUAAACACACCACUACUGGUGCUGCCUGCUGCUACUACUAUUGCUAGUGUGCUAUCGGUGCUGGUGCUGGUUUGCAUCGGUACUAGAGUGUUAGCUACCCUUCUUUCCUUCACUGCUGUCUCCUUCCACUUCUUCUCUCUUCCUCCCUCAUUUCGCCAUCCAGAAGAGAACAUGCGAUAAAAAAAGGGAGAGAAAGAGAGGAAGAAGAUUAUGCAAGCGAUGUUACCGUUCGACUUUACAACGAGAAAGCAAAUUGCUAAUUAACGAGCCGCCACGAGCUGUUGGAUCGAGGCU
rnacentral:lncRNA from 1 species